rnacentral:rRNA from 1 species
ACUCCGGGGAUAACAGGCUGAUACCGCCCAAGAGUUCAUAUCGACGGCGGUGUUUGGCACCUCGAUGUCGGCUCAUCACAUCCUGGGGCUGAAGUAGGUCCCAAGGGUAUGGCUGUUCGCCAUUUAAAGUGGUACGCGAGCUGGGUUUAGAACGUCGUGAGACAGUUCGGUCCCUAUCUGCCGUGGGCGCUGGAGAAUUGAGGGGGGCUGCUCCUAGUACGAGAGGACCGGAGUGGACGCAUCACUGGUGUUCGGGUUGUCAUGCCAAUGGCAUUGCCCGGUAGCUAAAUGCGGAAGAGAUAAGUGCUGAAAGCAUCUAAGCACGAAACUUGCCCCGAGAUGAGUUCUCCCUGACUCCUUGAGAGUCCUGAAGGAACGUUGAAGACGACGACGUUGAUAGGCCGGGUGUGUAAGCGCAGCGAUGCGUUGAGCUAACCGGUACUAAUGAACCGUGAGGCUUAACCUUACAACGCCGAAG